GAUGAACGCUGGCGGCAUGCCUAAUACAUGCAAGUCGAACGAGAGGAAGGAAAGCUUGCUUUCCUGAAUCUAGUGGCGAACGGGUGAGUAACACGUAGGUAACCUGCCCAUGUGCCCGGGAUAACGUCUGGAAACGGACGCUAAUACCGCAUAAAAUUAUCCAGUCGCAUGGCAGGAUGAUCAAAGGAGCAAUCCGCUGAAGGAUGGACUCGCGUCCGAUUAGAUAGUUGGUGAGGUAAAGGCUCACCAAGUCGACGAUCGGUAGCCGGACUGAGAGGUUGAACGGGCCACAUUGGGACUGAGACACGGGCCCAGACUCCUACGGGAGGCAGCAGUGGGGGAUAUUGCACAAUGGGCGAAAGCCUGAUGCAGCAACGCCGCGUGAGGGAAGACGGUUUUCGGAUUGUAAACCUCUGUUCUAAGUGACGAAGAAUGAC
rnacentral:rRNA from 1 species